rnacentral:rRNA from 1 species
UACGUAGGGGGCAAGCGUUGUCCGGAAUCAUUGGGCGUAAAGAGCGUGUAGGCGGCCCGAUAAGUCCGCUGUGAAAGUCCAGGGCUCAACCCUGGGAUGCCGGUGGAUACUGUCGGGCUCGAGUCCGGAAGAGGAGCGUGGAAUUCCUGGUGUAGCGGUGAAAUGCGCAGAUAUCAGGAGGAACACCAAUGGCGAAGGCAGCACUCUGGGACGUGACUGACGCUGAGACGCGAAAGCGUGGGGAGCAAACAGG